rnacentral:rRNA from 1 species
GACGAACGCUGGCGGCGUGCUUAACACAUGCAAGUCGAACGGAAAGGCCCUGCUUGCAGGGUACUCGAGUGGCGAACGGGUGAGUAACACGUGGGUGAUCUGCCCUGCACUUCGGGAUAAGCUUGGGAAACUGGGUCUAAUACCGGAUAGGAGCCAUCUUUAGUGUGGUGGUUGGAAAGUUUUUUCGGUGUAGGAUGAGCUCGCGGCCUAUCAGCUUGUUGGUGGGGUAAUGGCCUACCAAGGCGGCGACGGGUAGCCGGCCUGAGAGGGUGUACGGCCACAUUGGGACUGAGAUACGGCCCAGACUCCUACGGGAGGCAGCAGUGGGGAAUAUUGCACAAUGGGCGCAAGCCUGAUGCAGCGACGCCGCGUGGGGGAUGAAGGCCUUCGGGUUGUAAACUCCUUUCGCUAGGGACGAAGCUUUUUUGUGGCGGUACCUAGAGAAGAAGCACCGGCUAACUACGUG